GCGCUCACUAAGGCUCGGUCCUCUCCAUGUGGUCCUGAUCUGUCCUCUGUGAGCAAGAGAAACAGGACUGGUUUGGGGGUGUCCUGUCUCAGUGGACACGGGGCACCACAGUUUUCAGUACAACA
rnacentral:snoRNA from 1 species